rnacentral:rRNA from 1 species
GAUUAGAGUUUGAUCCUGGCUCAGGAUGAACGCUAGCUACAGGCUUAACACAUGCAAGUCGAGGGGCAGCAGAUCGAAAGCUUGCUUUUGAUGCUGGCGACCGGCGCACGGGUGAGUAACGCGUAUCCAACCUUCCCUAUAGUAGAGAAUAGCCCGGCGAAAGUCGGAUUAAUGCUCUAUGUUGUAUUUAGAAGACAUCUGAAGAAUACCAAAGGUUUACCGCUAUAGGAUGGGGAUGCGUCUGAUUAGGUAGUAGGCGGGGUAACGGCCCACCUAGCCGACGAUCAGUAGGGGUUCUGAGAGGAAGGUCCCCCACAUUGGAACUGAGACACGGUCCAAACUCCUACGGGAGGCAGCAGUGAGGAAUAUUGGUCAAUGGACGGAAGUCUGAACCAGCCAAGUAGCGUGCAGGAUGACGGCCCUAUGGGUUGUAAACUGCUUUUAUAUAGGGAUAAAGUCGGGGACGUGUCCCCGUUUGUAGGUACUAUAUGAAUAAAGGACCGGCUAAUUCCGUGCCAGCAGCCGCGGUAAUACGGGAAGGUCCAGGCGUUAUCCCGGAUUUAUUGGGUUUUAAAGGGAGCGCAGGCUGAUGAUUAAGCGUGACGUGAAAUGUAGCCGCUCAACGGCUGAACUGCGUCGCGAACUGGUUAUCUUGAUUAUCUUGAGUGAGUUCGAUGUUGGCGGAAUUCGUGGUGUAGCGGUGAAA